rnacentral:rRNA from 1 species
UACGUAGGGGGCGAGCGUUGUCCGGAUUUACUGGGCGUAAAGGGCGCGUAGGCGGCCGCGUUUGUCGGGGGUGAAAUCCCCGGGCUCAACCCGGGGGAGUCUCUCGAAACGGCGCGGCUCUGAGGGCGGUAGAGGAUGGUGGAAUUCCGGGUGUAGUGGUGAAAUGCGUAGAGAUCCGGAGGAACACCGGUGGCGAAGGCGGCCAUCUGGGCCGGCCCUGACGCUGAGGCGCGAAAGCGUGGGGAGCGAACUGA